rnacentral:tRNA from 1 species
GGGGCUGUAGUGUAGCUUGGUAUCACUCGUGGUUUGGGACCGCGCGACCGGGGUUCAAAACGGACUUAGUACGUUUUAAGCGAACUGGUUCGAUGUAAAUCCUCGCAGCCCCA